rnacentral:rRNA from 1 species
GACGAACGCUGGCGGCGUGCUUAACACAUGCAAGUCGAACGAAGAGCGAUGGAAGCUUGCUUCUAUCAAUCUUAGUGGCGAACGGGUGAGUAACGCGUAAUCAACCUGCCCUUCAGAGGGGGACAACAGUUGGAAACGACUGCUAAUACCGCAUACGAUCUAAUCUCGGCAUCGAGGAUAGAUGAAAGGUGGCCUCUACAUGUAAGCUAUCACUGAAGAAGGGGAUUGCGUCUGAUUAGCUAGUUGGAGGGGUAACGGCCCACCAAGGCGAUGAUCGGUAGCCGGUCUGAGAGGAUGAACGGCCACAUUGGGACUGAGACACGGCCCAGACUCCUACGGGAGGCAGCAGUGGGGAAUCUUCCGCAAUGGACGAAAGUCUGACGGAGCAACGCCGCGUGAGUGAUGACGGCCUUCGGGUUGUAAAGCUCUGUUAAUCGGGACGAAAGGCCUUCUUGCGAACAGUUAGAAGGAUUGACGGUACCGGAAUAGAAAGCCACGGCUAACUACGUG